rnacentral:rRNA from 1 species
UUUACCAGACCCGGAAGGCGCGGGCCUUAGUGGCGGACGGGUGAGUAGCGCGUGGGGAACCUGCCCCGUACCGGGGGAUAACACCUGGAAACAGGUGCUAAUACCGCAUAACAGAAGGGGACGCAUGUUUCUUUCUUGAAAACUCCGGUGGUACGGGAUGGACCCGCGUCUGAUUAGCUGGUUGGCGGGGUAACGGCCCACCAAGGCGACGAUCAGUAGCCGGCCUGAGAGGGCGGACGGCCACAUUGGGACUGAGACACGGCCCAAACUCCUACGGAAGGCAGCAG